rnacentral:lncRNA from 1 species
ACAUGCUACAAGCACAAGAACAGGAGACAGGCACAAUGCCCCACUGGCACAGGAGCUGGCAGGGCAUGCCGAGCCUCUCCAUCCGGGAAGGAGAGAGGGGGGAACUGGGGCAAGCUGCCAUGGGCUCAGGGCUGUGGCCAGCAUAGCUGGGCACCCUCGGUGCUGGGGGGACUCCUCAAGUAAGUGUGACACCUCCUCUUCACAGGGAAGGAGAUGGCUCCGACCAGACCGUGGAUGCUACCGUGAACCCAUUGGCAAAGCCCCUGUGGGCUUGGGCAGCCAGGACAGCUCCCAGAGAAUGGGGGAACGUGCCAGCCCCAUCGUGGGGAUGUCCUGGCGAGAGUCCCUUCCACCCCCAGAAAUGGAAAGCACUGGAGCCCAGGAGUGCCUGAUCACUUUUCCUCAGUUUUAAGGGGAAGGUGUUUUUUGCCCAUACUGUACCUCUUGCUGCCUCCUUGUGGGUGAAAGCUCCUUUCACACCAAGCCCCAGACUAAGAAGUCUUUGCCCUGCGUUGCCAUUUUCCAGGGGACUAAGCCUUAAUAUCCUCCCUGCCCCGCGGUCUGGGUUAGCGCACGUCCAUUGGAGACGCUGCUCAGGGAUGGUCCUGCUGAUGUGCAGUGAAGCUGGAGGGGAAGCGUCACGUCCCGAUGCUGCCGAGUCCCACACAACCGCAUCUGCAAGGAUCACCACGAGGACGCGGGGCCCUUACUCCCUACAGUCACACCCCACCUCUGCCCAGCCACUCCCACAGACCCUGCCUGUGCUGCUCUGUAGGGCACCAAUUCCUGCAGGAGCGCAGCAGGAUGAUCCCCUGGAGCGUGUCAUCUCGGAUGUUUACAGGCCAACGUGAAUCACUGUCUUUUAUAAAGAUUCCAUCUUCACCUCCAGCCUUGAGGGCUGAGCAAAACAAUGCUUGAAAAUUCAACCAAAACCAAACUCAGAUGAAACUUUGCACAUAUUUAUAUUUAUAUUCAGAAAGAAAACGUUUCCAUAAUUUAUAAUAAAGAGCACUAUUUUUUAAUGAAAAACA